GGUUCCGGAAAAGCUGUAUGUCCUGUUCGUGGAGAUGAAGCUCUUUAAAUCUAAUCUGAAACUCUUUUUACAACAUUUCUAGUAAAUCUACAUGUUUUGUUUGGGAAUGCGACUGCUGGUUUUUCCGCCAACAGGUUUUGAGUUGGGGGGAGAUGGCAGAAGUUUUCCUCCUUCACUUGUUUAAUGAGGAGGUCUAAUUUUACUGGAAAUGCUUUAAAUGUGAG